rnacentral:rRNA from 1 species
GGAAUUUUGCGCAAUGGGCGCAAGCCUGACGCAGCGACGCCGCGUGAGCGAUGAAGGCCCUCGGGUUGUAAAGCUCUGUGGAGAGAGAAGAAUAAGCGCAAGCCAAUACCUUGCGUGAUGACGGUAUCUCUUUAGCAAGCACCGGCUAACUCUGUGCCAGCAGCCGCGGUAAGACAGAGGGUGCAAACGUUGUUCGGAAUCACUGGGCGUAAAGCGCGUGUAGGCGGCUUGGCAAGUCGGGUGUGAAAUCCCGGGGCUCAACCCCGGAAGUGCACUCGAUACUGCCACGCUAGAGUCCUGGAGAGGAAGGUGGAAUACUUGGUGUAGAGGUGAAAUUCGUAGAUAUCAAGUAGAACACCGGUGGCGAAGGCGGCCUUCUGGACAGUGACUGACGCUGAGACGCGAAAGCGUGGGGAGCAAAC